rnacentral:rRNA from 1 species
AUUGAACGCUGGCGGCAGGCCUAACACAUGCAAGUCGAACGAGUGGCGGACGGGUGAGUAAUAUCUGGGAAACUGCCCGAUAGAGGGGGAUAACUACUGGAAACGGUAGCUAAUACCGCAUACCAUCGGAUGUGCCCAGAUGGGAUUAGCUAGUAGGUGGGGUAAAGGCUCACCUAGGCGACGAUCCCUAGCUGGUCUGAGAGGAUGACCAGCCACAGUGCAACUGAGACACGGCCCAGACUCCGACGGGAGGCAGGAGUGGGGAAUCGUGGACAAUGGGGGAAACCCUGAUACAGCCAUCCGGCGUGUGCGAUGAAGGCCUUCGGGUUGUAAAGCACUUUUGGCAGGGAAGCGGUACCUGCAGAAUAAGCACCGGCUAACUACGUGCCAGCAGCCGCGGUAAUAC